GGUAGAGGGCGACGAGGUCGGAGACUCCUCCCACCAACGCAAAGGCAGCUCCGCAUACUCCAGAAGCCACCAGGUCUCUUUCGGUUCCGAUCAAGAGAAAUCUUGAGAGUUCUGAGAAUAUUUCUUUGAGGGCUUCAAAUCACCAUACCUACAUCCUCUGCCACAACUACACACACGGGAACAAAAAUAAGCCUCUGCUAUCUACUCACGUAGGAGGGAUUCAUGCAAAAUAAACUCCUACGUGGAGACCAACAGGUCUCCCUCUUCUGUCAUAGGCCAUUAGCUCUCCUCCUCUAGGUGGUGGUGGAGGAAGAGGACGAUUCCGAGCUCUGCCACCAC